UUUGUGUGUUUGUGUGUGUGUGUGUGUGUGUGUGUGUGUGUAUGAAGGAAUUUUGUAAGCAAGAUGUUCAAACAUAGGCAAUAUUAAAAUUUAAAUUAUGUAAAUGUAUAAUAAAAUAUUAAAACAAAAUUAAACACUUAAAACCUCUUAUUUCUAAUUACUUAGCUUUAUGCUAAAUAAUAAUAGCUUAUCUUUGUUAUUGGGAUAACAUUUUGAAGUACAAGAAUGUGCUAAACAGGGAAUCAAAAUAGAAUUUUUCUUUUAAGAAUUUAGCUGAGGGAUAUUUAUGUGUGCUCCUGGGGUUAUUUAUUUCUAUUUCUAUUUGAUAUGGUGGCAAUACUUUGUAAAAGUAUAUACUAAAGGGCUAGAGCCAGUGGCUCAUGCCUGUAACACUAGCUACUCAGGAGGCUGAGACACGAGAAUCAGGGUUAAAAGUUAAUGUGGGCAGAAAAGUUCAUGACUCUUAUUUCCAAUUA